UACGUAGGGGGCAAGCGUUGUCCGGAAUCAUUGGGCGUAAAGAGCGUGUAGGCGGCUCGGUAAGUCCGCUCUGAAAGUCCGGGGCUCAACCCCGGGAGGCGGGCGGAUACUGUCGGGCUAGAGUCCGGAAGAGGCGAGUGGAAUUCCUGGUGUAGCGGUGAAAUGCGCAGAUAUCAGGAGGAACACCAAUGGCGAAGGCAGCUCGCUGGGACGGUACUGACGCUGAGACGCGAAAGCGUGGGGAGCAAACAGG
rnacentral:rRNA from 1 species